CGAACGGCAGCACGGACUUCGGUCUGGUGGCGAGUGGCGAACGGGUGAGUAAUGUAUCGGAACGUACCUUUCAGUGGGGGAUAACGUAGCGAAAGUUACGCUAAUACCGCAUAUUCUGUGAGCAGGAAAGCAGGGGAUCGCAAGACCUUGCGCUGAUUGAGCGGCCGAUAUCAGAUUAGCUAGUUGGUGGGGUAAAGGCCUACCAAGGCUACGAUCUGUAGCGGGUCUGAGAGGAUGAUCCGCCACACUGGAACUGAGACACGGUCCAGACUCCUACGGGAGGCAGCAGUGGGGAAUUUUGGACAAUGGGGGCAACCCUGAUCCAGCCAUGCCGCGUGAGUGAAGAAGGCCUUCGGGUUGUAAAGCUCUUUCGGCCGGGAAGAAAUCGCAUCAGCUAAUACCUGGUGUGGAUGACGGUACCGGAAUAAGAAGCACCGGCUAACUACGUGCCAGCAGCCGCGGUAAUACGUAGGGUGCGAGCGUUAAUCGGAAUUACUGGGCGUAAAGCGUGCGCAGGCGGUUGUGUAAGACAGGCGUGAAAUCCCCGGGCUCAACCUGGGAACUGCGCUUGUGACUGCACAGCUAGAGUACGGCAGAGGGGGGUGGAAUUCCACGUGUAGCAGUGAAAUGCGUAGAGAUGUGGAGGAACACCGAUGGCGAAGGCAGCCCCCUGGGCCGAUACUGACGCUCAUGCACGAAAGCGUGGGUAGCAAACAGGAUUAGAUACCCUGGUAGUCCACGCCCUAAACGAUGUCAACUAGGUGUUGGGUGGGUAAAACCAUUUAGUACCGUAGCUAACGCGUGAAGUUGACCGCCUGGGGAGUACGGCCGCAAGGUUAAAACUCAAAGGAAUUGACGGGGACCCGCACAAGCGGUGGAUGAUGUGGAUUAAUUCGAUGCAACGCGAAAAACCUUACCUACCCUUGACAUGUCCAGAAGCCCGGAGAGAUUUGGGUGUGCCCGAAAGGGAACUGGAACACAGGUGCUGCAUGGCUGUCGUCAGCUCGUGUCGUGAGAUGUUGGGUUAAGUCCCGCAACGAGCGCAACCCUUGUCGUUAAUUGCCAUCAUUUAGUUGGGCACUUUAACGAGACUGCCGGUGACAAACCGGAGGAAGGUGGGGAUGACGUCAAGUCCUCAUGGCCCUUAUGGGUAGGGCUUCACACGUCAUACAAUGGUCGGUACAGAGGGUUGCCAAGCCGCGAGGUGGAGCCAAUCCCAGAAAGCCGAUCGUAGUCCGGAUUGCAGGCUGCAACUCGCCUGCAUGAAGUCGGAAUCGCUAGUAAUCGCGGAUCAGCAUGUCGCGGUGAAUACGUUCCCGGGUCUUGUACACACCGCCCGUCACACCAUGGGAGCGGGUUCCGCCAGAAGUAGGUAGCCUAACCGCAAGGAGGGC
rnacentral:rRNA from 1 species